rnacentral:lncRNA from 1 species
GUUCGUUUGCCUGAGAUCUAGCUUCUAGAUGGCGUUCCUAUAGCCUCCCGGAGCCCCAGCCAUCCUCCGUAGAAGGGUCCCUGCCGCAGUGCGGGGCCUGAGGGAAGUCGGCUCUGGCGUCCGUGCUCGCAACGCUGGGAGCAGCCCUGAAACUCCAGUGACCCUCAGCCCUCUGCCUUUGUUUUGGGCUCAAAGCCAGCUGUCCCUGAAUCUGGAGUUAAAGCUGGAGUAAAGGUGGAGAGACCAAGAAGACACACUUGCCUCUCAUGACCUCCAAUCUUGAUGAUGUAGGUAACUUGACAGAGAAGAUGAUUCUCUUCACCACAGAGCUGAGCCACACCUGGCCAGAAUCAGGGAAGGUGAAGGAGGAGAUCUUGAGGGAUUUGGGGAAGCUGCAGGGCUGGCUGCUGUCCUCUGCCAAGAUCAAUGACAACGUGUGUGAGCUGCAACUGCACAUGAAUGUUACCAACCUUCUGAGACUUAAAAUUUUCACCUUCUAAAUCUUAGACAAAUUUCUUUUGUAGUAAUGUUAUUUUGAAAUCACACUGAGAAAGCACUUCUGGGCCAUGUAAUUCCAAAUUAGUUAUAUUGACAAAGUGGCAAGGUAUCCACUCUUUAUAGAUUUCUGUGACUUUUUCUCUCAAUAUUUACAUUGCAAGUUGUUUUUUGUAGCUAUAUGUCUUUAAUUUUCAUUAGUCUAUUAUAGUCCAUUAUGUGAAAAAUCUCAAAUGUAUUUUUCCAUUAUCUUGUUUAUGGACAUUUCAAUUGCUUUUAGUGUUUUGCUAUGAUGAAGUGGAUAUUCUUCUAUAUUUCUCGUGAUGUAAUUGUGCAAGCAUUUCUCUACGGCUUAGAAAUAGGAGAACUGAUGUCCAACUUUACAAAAUGGUACCAAAUUGUUUUCCAAAGUUCUUUUUAUGAAAUUUAUACUUCCACCAAUGCCAUGUAGACUUUUUAUUGAUACAUAAUAAUUGUAAAUGUUUAUGGAGUACUUGUGAUAUUUUGAUGCGUGCAAUGUUUGAUGAUCAAGCCAGGGUUUCUAGGCUAUCCAUCACCUCAACCAUUUAUCAUUUCUUUAUGUUCGGAACAUUUCAAAUCUUCCCCUCUAGCUAUUUUGAAAUACACAAUAGAUUACUAUUAAUUGUAGUCAGUCAACUGUGCUAUCAAACACUAGAAUUUAUUCCUUCUAUCCCAUGUUUGUACCCAUUAACCAACCUCUCUUCAUCCCCAUUCCCUUCCCAGCCUCUAGUAACCAUCAUUCUACUCUCUACCUCCAUAAGAUCAACUAUUUUAGCUCCCACAGAUGAGUGCUAACAGUGAUAUGUGUCUUUCUGUGCCUGGUUUAUUUCACAUAACAUAACGACCUCCAGUUCCAUUGAUGUUGCUGCAAAUAGGAUUUUAUUUUUUAUGGCUGAAUAGUAUUCCAUUCAUCCUGUACAAUUGGGAA